UCGAGAUCUCUGGCUGGACUGAAGGCAAACUCCCCAAGUGCUAAUGUCCAAAUGUUGCUCCGGUAUCUGCACAUAGUGUAGAGUAUAACAUCAGCACAAGCGACCCCAUGUGAUUGUCAGUGGCUGGCGUAACCCCAACAAGGUAGUGACGAGGCUAGGACCAGUCUCCAGAUAAAUCUGUGCAGGUAUAUAAUAUACAACAAAAAAUAAACAUGAAUAAACAGUUAACAUGGGAGGGGGUACAUGCUACGGGGAAAAUACCUUCUCUAGAAGAAACUUAAGAGAAAUAUGAGAGAACAAUCCAAGAUCUACACCAACAAAAAAAUAAUAACACUGUUGCGACGCAUAACUCGACCCCAUUUAUAUCACUGUUGCGGUAUGCAACCCGAUCCAAUAUAAUAUUUAUUGCGACGUGCAACUCGAUCCACAUAUAAUAUUGUUACGGCGUGCAACUCGAUCCACAUAUAACUUUGUUGCGGGGUGCAACCCGAUCAACAUAUAACAUUAUUGCAGCGUGCAACCCAAUCCACAUAUAACAUUGUUGCGGCGUGCAACCUGUGUCGCACCCCUUUUUUAUAGAGUCGAAAUCAUACUUGUGACAUUUGGGAGGACAACUCGUUCCCCUUUGGGAAUUGAGUUUUAGAAUUGAAGAGUCGCCACCUAAUGAUUAUGUGCAUUAGGACACUAAGAGGAUUUUUGAUUUAGAAACCAGAGAUUAGGGUAAGGGCUAGAAAUUAUCCCGAGGGGGAGGUAUUAGGCACCCCUCAGGAUCCACAAAUGUGGUUCCUGGUCAUGUUACAAUUGUGACUUUAUAUAAACACAUAAGCAAUUAAGGUUCAAAUAAGUACUCGCAUAUAACAUUAAAAAAAAGUUGAAAACUUGUGAAGGUAAGUAGAGAGGGCAGAAUUUUAUGAAAAAGAUUUAAAGAGUUUUACAAGAAGAGACGAAAUCAAAUAAAAGGAUAGGGGUCCAAGGUUUAUGGUUAAUAUGGAUCACAUCAAUGCAACAUCCAGCAAUCACUCCUAAGAAGAGGGGUCACACAUGAUAUUAGCACACCGGUUAUCAUAUCUAUAUUCUACAUUUCCCACCCCGUUAAGGUAUUAAAGCGCGGAAUAGUAUCGUUACUUAAUGCGUGCCUCUACCCGUUCCAAUCCUAUCAGUGCCAGAGGCAUAUUGGACAACUAACCCUAAAGAGGAGGGAGUUUGGGGCCUUUUGAGAGUUUUCAAAGGACAAAAUUUUAAGGCGACAUUCAAAAACAUAUACAACAAGUAUUGAAAGGCAAGUAAACAAAUAUGCUCAAAUAAGCCUCCUUAAAUCAAAGAAAAGCAUUUAGUUUAGCAUGUCUUACACAUACCGAUUUGGUCUGAAUUAAAUUAAGGCGUAGGGUAGGUUGAUUUACCAUAUAUUUUCCAGAUAAAUAGUCCAAAUUAGCCUUUCUUAGAUGUAGUUAUCAAAGACUGACCCAAUUGAUUAAUUACCUAACCAUUCUUAUGUGUUAAACGGAGCUAUAAGCAUGAUAGCUAUUGGAUUCAGAGAUAAAGGAGUAAACUAAUUGCAGAGAAAGAGCUAUCAAUUAUAAGGUCAUAAGUUCUGUGAGUGUUAAACAAAAUGCUACUGAUUUUAGACUUAGGAGCGAGUGGACGAUUCAAGUUUUAGUUGAUAACUCCUAUAUGCAUUCUUUCUAGGCGUUUACUGAUUUAGCUGCUGUUAUUGCUUAUGCAUAAAUCCUAUAGGCAUAUCAUCUAUAUAUAGUCAAUUAUUUAAGUCCUAUAAUAAGUCUGCCUAAUGGUCAUAUAUGCAUGCUUUCUACGUGUUCACUGAUUUAGUCGUUGUUAUUGCUUAUGCAGAAAUCCUAUAGGCAGGUCAUCUAUAGGCAGUCAGCUAUUUAAGUCCUAUACUACGUUUUCCUUAUGACUGAUGCAUAUGCAAAAAUGCAGAAGUCCUGUAGGCAUAUUAUCUAUAUGAUAUGCAUACUGAUGAAUAUGGUUCUAUACGAAAAUGCAGAAAAUACUAUGUACAUGAUAUCUGUAUGAAAUUGCAGAAAAUCCUAAGAACAUGAUAUCUAUAUGAAAUGCAGAAAUCCCAUGAACAUGAUAUCUAUAUGAAAUGCAGAAAUACCUAUGAACAUGAUAUCUAUAUGAGGCGCAGAUUUUCAGUAGUUAACUAUAUGAAAAAUGCAGAAUUUCAGAAAUAGUAUUUUCCUAUUAUCAUGGUGUCUAUAUGAGGUGCAUAAAUUUUAGAAGUAACGAUCCCCUAUAGUCAUGAUAUCUACCCCUUUUGCAUGCAUUUAAUCCCACCCAAUUAGUUAUUACAAAAUUAUUACAGACUAAAUGAAUAAGACAAAAAAGUAAAAUUACAUGAGUGAUUACAUCUACAUCUAAUCGGCCUAAUUCAGACUCAGAGUCUAAUAAUAUGAGAUAAACCAACUUCCAGGAUCAUAUUUUCAUAGCCUUUCUCUUACUUGGGAUGUGUCAAAGUUCGAAGAAUCUUCAAGAACUCCAGGCAAUGCUUACACCCCAAAUGUCAUUACAGAAUCAGAUUAUAGUGAAGUGUAGAAUUGUUAGCCCUCAAAUGUCCAAGUUCAGAAGGAACUCAAGGUGCCAAGGCAAGGCUCAUAGGAAGGGGGCAGAACUUAGAGUCUAGGAAUAAGUGCAAGUGCAGUAGAGGUGAAAUAGCAAAAAUGUUAUCAUGCCAAGCAUUUUUUGGGGUGCUGGCAUACCCUUGACUAGCUUGUCAGUUGUAAAUUGGGGAGUUAGGACCAAUUAAAGGCCAGGUUCAUCCUUGGACAACAAUUGGGAUGCUACUAGGCUAUACAUUAACUCAGCACACAUAUGGGAAUGGGGCAUGGGGAAACUUAAAGAGGCUAGGAUCCAAAGGAUCCAAGUUUUAUCCAUGAACAAUAACUUGUACAUUGUCAUGCCUUAAAACUAUAGCUCAAACACAUAAAGGGGAGUAGGGAUAGGGAUUCAUUGUAGCAACAGAUAACGAGACAUAAACACACUACUUUAAAAGUUGAACUUAACAAAAACAGUAAAGUAGACAUGGAAAUAAGAGCUUGUAAAUAAACACAUUGGGGUGAUACUAGAAUCAAAAUUAGGACAUAGCAGGCUUAAAAGAGACAAGAAAAAGAAGGCAUUAUUCUUGCGAAAGCCAAAGUGUUGACAAUAAAGUUCAGAAGAGGUUGUGAGAAUUAGGUGUGAAGUUCUGAAGUGUAUUCAGUGUGUGUUGUGAAAAGAAAGAGUCGUGUAUUAAUAGUUUGAAAAUAGGUAUAAAGUAAGGAAAGAAUCAUAGUAAUUAUGGAACUAUGUAUCAAUUACAAUCAAACAACAUAAGAACUUUCUUUAAGGAGUUUAAACUCAAACGGUAAUGGACAACAAUCAGUUAAGGAAAGAAAAUCAAGUACACAUCUUGUGUAAAAUAGGAAAUUAGGGGUAAAUACACAGGGGUUUAACUAAGGAAACAUUAAUUAAGAAUAUUUUAAAUACACGGUUAGCAAAAUAAGGUAAGAAACAUAGUGAAUCAAUUAGUACAUAGUUAAUCGAGGAAUUAGGGAUUCGAAAUUACCAAUGAACCAUGUCAGAAAGAGAGGUAAAGGAAGGUUCAAUUAGGAAAAAAUCAGUAACAAUCAAGUAAGCGACAUUGAGGGGAUUCAUAAUCAAUUAAUAGUUGGCAAAACCCUUCGAAAGAAAAAUUCUCAUAUAUAAGGCACAUAGACAUGUCAAGAAAGAAGGAUGUCAUGCUAGUUAGGCCAAACUAGGAAGCAAGUUUCCAAAUCACAACCAAAGAAAAAAGUUCGAAUUUAGUUCAUAGACUCGGAUUGAGUCUGAGAGUUCACGGUUCCAAAGUAGAACCCCUGUACAAAUACAAAAACAAACUUUCCAAAGAAACCCCCAAAAUCCAAAUGUUUUAAAACUCGAAUUCGACAUAGAGAUGAGAAGACAAGAAAUUGAAACAGACUCAGAGACCUCUUUUAGUGUCUCAUGAGAAAACAUACAAACACAAUAGCUGGUUCAAGGCAAAUAGAAGGUAGAACUAAUUUGAAGUACAGGGAACAAGUUUUAAGAAAAGCUUGGGACUUAAGCAAGCUCAGGAGAUAAAAAGAUAGUGUAAACUUAAGGGAAAAAUUGAUGAAACAUAUUUAGAAAGAACAUAAAGGAAAAUAAAGGAUUAAAACUCAGUAAAAAAAUACAGUAAAGAAACACACAAGAUAGACAUGUGAGAGCAUGAUAUUGAAACUAGUAGAAGAAAGAACAUAGCAUAAUAGAAAUACCACAUAAUACAAAAAACAUAAGAACACAUGAGAAAAAUAUGUGAGUUUGAAAAGAGAAACAAGAACAUAUCAUGGAUCGAUUCACACCAAGAAGAAGAACAAGAAGAAGAAGAAGAAGAAGAAGAAGAAGAAGAAGAAGAAGAAGAAGAAGCAGAAACAUCUUAAGAACCUCUUCAGAAACCCUAAUCGAAAAUAAGUAAUUUUUUAAAAGAAAAAUCGAGAAAACGUUUAAGAAACUUAAGCAAUGCACAAACGUAUACCAGAUAUUAAAAAAUAAUCAGAGAGAACCUCGAGUAAUUAAGGUUUCAAAGGUACCCUGAAUGAGAAAGGCUUAGAAAAAGCUUGAUCCUGAGUUGGACUAGUCAGAAUCAGGCUAGAAACUCUUUGGACAAGGCUGGAGAGGCCUCGAAGCCACGGAUAUGAGAAGAUUUGAGAGAGUACCAUUGAGUUCAGACCUCGAGUCUUCGAGGAACCAUGGUUUAUGGGUAAAGGGAGGUGAGUCCAGACCGUUCAUGGCCUGAGAAGCCAUGGAUUCCAUUGAAAACAUGUUGGAAUAAGGUAGGAGGAGGCUAGGGUUCCGAAGAACCUUGAGAGAGAUUAAGAUUCAAAGGGGGUCGAUGCGUGGAAAUGAGGGGGAUUGGAGUAGGUCGUUUGGUUUAAU
rnacentral:lncRNA from 1 species